rnacentral:rRNA from 1 species
ACGCCUUAUACAUGCAAGUCGAACGAAGUAGCAAUACUUAGUGGCAGACGGGUGAGUAACAUGUAGGUAUCUUCCCUUUGGUGAGGAAUAACACGAGGAAACUUGUGCUAAUACCUCAUAAGUCUUUACGGAGAAAGCUUUAUGCGCCGAAGGAUGAGCCUGCACUUGAUUAGUUUGUUGGUGGGGUAAUGGCCUACCAAGACUUUGAUCUAUAGCUGAUCUGAGAGGAUGAUCAGCCACAUUGGGACUGAGACACGGCCCAAACUCCUACGGGAGGCAGCAGUAGGGAAUAUUGCACAAUGGAGGAAACUCUGAUGCAGCGAUGCCGCGUGAGUGAAGAAGGCCUUUGGGUUGUAAAGCUCUUUCGUCGGGGAAGAAAAUGACUGUACCCGAAUAAGAAGGUCCGGCUAACUUCGUGCCAGCAGCCGCGGUAAUACGAAGGGACCUAGCGUAGUUCGGAAUUACUGGGCUUAAAGAGUUCGUAGGUGGUUAAAAAAGUUGGUGGUGAAAUCCCAGAGCUUAACUCUGGAACUGCCAUCAAAACUUUUUAGCUAGAGUAUGAUAGAGGAAAGCAGAAUUUCUAGUGUAGAGGUGAAAUUCGUAGAUAUUAGAAAGAAUACCAAUUGCGAAGGCAGCUUUCUGGAUCAUUACUGACACUGAGGAACGAAAGCAUGGGUAGCGAAGAGGAUUAGAUACCCUCGUAGUCCAUGCCGUAAACGAUGUGUGUUAGACGUUGGAAAUUUAUUUUCAGUGUCGCAGCGAAAGCAUUAAACACACCGCCUGGGGAGUACGAC